rnacentral:sRNA from 1 species
UUUAUUUUUAAUUGUGAAGAGUUCUAUUAAGGAACGCACGAUUUAGGGUGUACUAAGUUGGUAUACAUAGUAGAUGAGUAAUACAUGUAUACCCAUUCUAGUUUUUGUUAGAAAUCCAUGCAUAUAUGUCUUAACGUUUUUGAAUAUUUCUUUUCAAGGUACCUUUAAAACUUUGAUUGUUUUAGAAAAAAAC